rnacentral:lncRNA from 11 species
CUCCCCGCCCACACUCACACAGGAGCAAACUCGGGGACCCCCCCCCCCAACGCACACUCACCCCUUCCUCCGCCUCCGCCUCCUUCCUCUCUCCCGCUCUCUCUCCGAAAGGCCUCCUCUGUCCCUCCUCCUCCGGAAGUGACCUCUCGUCCUGAGCCCCUCUAGGAAGAGGCCUCCCUUCCUCGGUGGACUUCCGCCCGGACCUAACAUGGCAGCCGCGGGCAGGAUGCCCAUAGAGGGGCGGGGCUUCGCGGCCGUUGAACGGAGCCCGACACAGACAGAGAGAGACGCUCCUCCUUUCUUUUCUUCCCAACGCCCAGAAUCCACCAAUGGGAAUUCGCCUUUCUCCUUGACGUCAUCAGUCUCCGGGCAGAAUCUCCCCCUUCUGCCAUUAACGGCCAUUCCCGGGACCCGCCCAUGGGGAUCGGCCUCCGCUCCAGGAAGCGCCAGGCUGAAGCGGGGACGGGAGGAAGGAGCGGGACUCGCCUCUGGUUUGGCGGGUCCUGUCGGGGGAAGCAGCCUCCUCCGGCCUCCGCUAGACGAGACUCAGAACCCGGACCCUUCCCCCGGCAGAGAAGGCUGUCCUGCGGAAGGAGGGAGGCUGCAGGGUGGGAGUGGCAGAAGAGGCUCCAGGCUGAAGUGGAAAAGAACCUGCAGGUGCAGAAAGGUGACUUCUGAACAAGUUCUGCAAAGAACACAGCGUGAGAGCUUUGCCCGAGGAGUGCUCUAAGUCUAAAGUGACUUCAAGAUACACAGCAAUGACAACAAGAAAAAAUAAGUAGUAGAAAAAUAUAUUACAAGCUACAACCCUAUGCAGUUAAGAGGAGGAAAGAAGAUUGUGAUGAAAAAAAAAGAGGCUUGGAAAGCGAGCAGAAGGCUACAGCAAUACAAAGACUGUGCUGAUCGGGAGGUUAUAUCUGUGAACCCCUGGCAUAAUAUUUGAAUUAUAAAUAUAAAAGAAUGGCAAGUCCUCUACCUCCCUAUCCUAAAUCACGCACAGGGGAGAAGUUGCAUCAGUGUAUGGAAUGUGGGAAACAAUUUGAUGGAAAAGUUCU